ACUAGUUUACAUACACUUAGGUUGAGGUCAUUAAAACUAGUUUACAUGCACUUAGGUUGGAGUGAUUAAAACUAGUUUACAUACACUUAGGUUGAGGUCAUUAAAACUAGUUUACAUACACUUAGGUUGAGGUCAUUAAAACUAGUUUACAUACACUUAGGUUGAGGUCAUUAAAACUAGUUUACAUACACUUAGGUUGAGGUCAUUAAAACUAGUUUACAUGCACUUAGGUUGGAGUGAUUAAAACUAGUUUACAUACACUUAGGUUGAGGUCAUUAAAACUAGUUUACAUACACUUAGGUUGGAGUGAUUAAAACUAGUUUACAUACACUUAGGUUGGAGUGAUUAAAACUAGUUUACAUACACUUAGGUUGGAGUCAUUAAAACUAGUUUACAUACACUUAGGUUGGAGUCAUUAAAACUAGUUUACAUACACUUAGGUUGGAGUGAUUAAAACUAGUUUACAUACACUUAGGUUGAGGUCAUUAAAACUAGUUUACAUACACUUAGGUUGGAGUCAUUAAAACUAGUUUACAUACACUUAGGUUGGAGUCAUUAAAACUAGUUUACAUACACUUAGGUUGAGGUCAUUAAAACUAGUUUACAUACACUUAGGUUGGAGUCAUUAAAACUAGUUUACAUACACUUAGGUUGGAGUCAUUAAAACUAGUUUACAUACACUUAGGUUGGAGUCAUUAAAACUAGUUUACAUACACUUAGGUUGGAGUCAUUAAAACUAGUUUACAUACACUUAGGUUGGAGUCAUUAAAACUAGUUUACAUACACUUAGGUUGAGGUCAUUAAAACUAGUUUACAUACACUUAGGUUGGAGUCAUUAAAACUAGUUUACAUACACUUAGGUUGGAGUCAUUAAAACUAGUUUACAUACACUUAGGUUGGAGUCAUUAAAACUAGUUUACAUACACUUAGGUUGGAGUCAUUAAAACUAGUUUACAUACACUUAGGUUGGAGUCAUUAAAACUAGUUUACAUACACUUAGGUUGGAGUCAUUAAAACUAGUUUACAUACACUUAGGUUGGAGUCAUUAAAACUAGUUUACAUACACUUAGGUUGGAGUCAUUAAAACUAGUUUACAUACACUUAGGUUGGAGUCAUUAAAACUAGUUUACAUACACUUAGGUUGAGGUCAUUAAAACUAGUUUACAUACACUUAGGUUGAGGUCAUUAAAACUAGUUUACAUACACUUAGGUUGGAGUCAUUAAAACUAGUUUACAUACACUUAGGUUGGAGUCAUUAAAACUAGUUUACAUACACUUAGGUUGGAGUCAUUAAAACUAGUUUACAUACACUUAGGUUGAGGUCAUUAAAACUAGUUUACAUACACUUAGGUUGGAGUCAUUAAAACUAGUUUACAUACACUUAGGUUGGAGUCAU